rnacentral:rRNA from 1 species
UACGAAGGGGGCUAGCGUUGCUCGGAAUCACUGGGCGUAAAGCGCACGUAGGCGGAUUGCUAAGUCAGGGGUGAAAUCCUGGAGCUCAACUCCAGAACUGCCUUUGAUACUGGCGAUCUCGAGUCCGGGAGAGGUGAGUGGAACUGCGAGUGUAGAGGUGAAAUUCGUAGAUAUUCGCAAGAACACCAGUGGCGAAGGCGGGUCUCUGGGCCGAUACUGACGCUGAGGAGCGAAAGCGUGGGGAGCGAACAGG